GACGAACGCUGGCGGCGUGCUUAACACAUGCAAGUCGAACGGAAAGGCCCUGCUUUUGUGGGGUGCUCGAGUGGCGAACGGGUGAGUAACACGUGAUUAACCUGCCCUUGACUUUGGGAUAACUUCAGGAAACUGGGGCUAAUACCGGAUAGGAGCUCCUGCUGCAUGGUGGGGGUUGGAAAGUUUCGGCGGUUGGGGAUGGACUCGCGGCUUAUCAGCUUGUUGGUGGGGUAGUGGCUUACCAAGGCUUUGACGGGUAGCCGGCCUGAGAGGGUGACCGGCCACAUUGGGACUGAGAUACGGACCAGACUCCUACGGGAGGCAGCAGUGGGGAAUAAUGCACAAUGGGCGGAAGCCUGAUGCAGCAACGCCGGGUGCGGGAUGAAGGCCUUCGGGUUGUAAACCGCGUUCGCCUGUGACGAAGCGUGAGUGACGGUAAUGGGUAAAGAAGCACCGGCUAACUACGUG
rnacentral:rRNA from 1 species